UACGUAGGGUGCGAGCGUUGUUCGGAGUUACUGGGCGUAAAGGGUGCGUAGGCGGCUUUUUAAGUUUGGUGUGAAAUCUUCCGGCUCAACUGGGAGGGUGCGCCGAAUACUGAGAGGCUAGAGUGUGGUAGAGGAAAGUGGAAUUCCUGGUGUAGCGGUGAAAUGCGUAGAUAUCAGGAGGAACACCGGUGGUGUAAACGGCUUUCUGGACCAUAACUGACGCUGAUGCACGAAAGCGUGGGUAGCAAACAGG
rnacentral:rRNA from 1 species